AAAGCCGUAUAUGUCGGGUUGCCAUGCAGUGGUGAUGAAACUCGGUCUUACGCAAUGGAAAUCUACGAACCGUGUCAGGUUGGGAACAAAGCAGCACUAAGUAGAACCUUCCAUGUGCCGUAAGGAAACUGGGUGGAGCUGCUGUCAUGGUCCGGCGUAUGCGGUUUU
rfam:Firmicutes bacterium CAG:65 genomic scaffold, scf143